rnacentral:rRNA from 1 species
UACGGAGGGUGCAAGCGUUAUCCGGAUUCACUGGGUUUAAAGGGUGCGUAGGCGGGCAUUUAAGUCAGUGGUGAAAUCUCCGGGCUUAACUCGGAAACUGCCAUUGAUACUAUCUGUCUUGAAUACCGUGGAGGUUAGCGGAAUAUGUCAUGUAGCGGUGAAAUGCUUAGAUAUGACAUAGAACACCAAUUGCGAAGGCAGCUGGCUACACGAAUAUUGACACUGAUGCACGAAAGCGUGGGGAUCAAACAGG